rnacentral:rRNA from 1 species
UACGAAGGGGGCUAGCGUUAUUCGGAAUUAUUGGGCGUAAAGGGCGCGUAGGCGGCUAGAUGUGUCAAAGGUGAAAUCCCUCGGCUCAACUGAGGAACUGCCUUUGAAACUGUCUGGCUUGAGGCCGGGAGAGGGUAGCGGAAUUCCCAGUGUAGCGGUGAAAUGCGUAGAUAUUGGGAGGAACACCAGUGGCGAAGGCGGCUACCUGGACCGGUUCUGACGCUGAGGCGCGAAAGCGUGGGUAGCAAACAGG